UAGCUCAGUGGUAGAGUGCAUGCCUAGAAUACAUGAAGUUCUGGGUUCAAUCCCCAG
rnacentral:tRNA from 1 species